CCCUGUGAACAUACCUAAAACGUCGCUUUGGGGGAACAUGACGGCCCUGUAACAACGGGCCGCCCCCGCCAGAGGACCCCCUAACUCUGUUUUUAUAAUGUUUUUCUGAGUAAACAAGCAAAUAAAUUAAAACUUUCAACAACGGAUCUCUUGGCUCUGGCAUCGAUGAAGAACGCAGCGAAAUGCGAUAAGUAAUGUGAAUUGCAGAAUUCAGUGAAUCAUCGAAUCUUUGAACGCACAUUGCGCCCGCCAGUAUUCUGGCGGGCAUGCCUGUUCGAGCGUCAUUACAACCCUCAGGCCCCCGGGCCUGGCGUUGGGGAUCGGCGGAAGCCCCCUGUGGGCACACGCCGUCCCCCAAAUACAGUGGCGGUCCCGCCGCAGCUUCCAUUGCGGAGUAACUAACACCCCGCAACUGGAGACGGGCGGGGCCAUGCCGUAAAACACCCAACGCUUUCGAAUGGUGGCCCCGAAUCAGGUAGGGAUCCCCG
rnacentral:rRNA from 1 species